ACAACGGAGAGUUUGAUCCUGGCUCAGGAUGAACGCUGGCGGCGUGCUUAACACAUGCAAGUCGAACGAACCUUCGGGUUAGUGGCGGACGGGUGAGUAACGCGUGAGAAUCUGCCCUCAGGAGGGGGACAACAGUUGGAAACGACUGCUAAUACCCCAUAUGCCGCGAGGUGAAAUGAAUUUCGCCUGAGGAUGAGCUCGCGUCUGAUUAGCUAGUUGGUGUAGGUAAUGGCUCACCAAGGCAUCGCCCAGAUCGCUGGUCUGAUGAAUCGGGGAUUCCCUGGAUCGAGCAAAAGCACCGGUCAGCUUCAGAUCAGUG
rnacentral:rRNA from 1 species